AACGAACGCUGGCGGCAGGCUUAACACAUGCAAGUCGAGCGCCUCGCCAGAGGAGCGGCAGCCGGGUGAGUAACGCGUGGGAACGUACCCUUAUCUUCGGAAUAGCUCUGGGAAACUGGAAGUAAUACCGAAUGUGCCCUUAGGUGGAAAGAUUUAUCGGAUAAGGCUCGGCCCGCGUUGGAUUAGCUAGUUGGUGGGGUAAAGGCCUACCAAGGCGACGAUCCAUAGCUGGUCUGAGAGGAUGAUCAGCCACAUUGGGACUGAGACACGGCCCAAACUCCUACGGGAGGCAGCAGUGGGGAAUAUUGGACAAUGGGCGCAAGCCUGAUACAGCCAUGCCGCGUGAGUGAUGAAGGCCUUAGGGUUGUAAAGCUCUUUCAACGGAGAAGAUAAUGACGGUAUCCGGAGAAGAAGCCCCGGCUAACUUCGUG
rnacentral:rRNA from 1 species